AAAGUUUGCAGACCCUGGCCUAAGCAGCAUCUGAUCACUCAGCAAUACAAGAACCAGUUGACUAGACAGAAGUGAUGAGUUAAAGAGAACUAAACAGAACUAAACAGUAGAUGCCUUAAUUGCUUAUAACAAAAGCACAAGCGACUGCCAUUACUAUGAUUGGGAUUUCUCCAAGAUGUUAGGAUCAACUAAACGCCAUGAACUCUUUCAUGUACCUGAGUGCUCACUUCUUUACUUUUAUAUCCUCUCCAAAAGACAGAGUCCCUCCAUGCCAGGUUGUUGGCUCAAUAUGGCAGCAGUAAAUCUCUGGUGACACUUCCAGCAGCACAUAAGAAGAGAGUUCUCAGAAAUGACCAAUAAUUGACCCUCCGUGACCUACCCAAGCAUGUGAGGUCUAACAGGCUCUAACAUUAAGUACAGAAUUAUUUCCCAAAAGAUACUUCGCAUGUAAUGCUAUUCGACUACUCAGAAAAUGAACAAAAUAGAGUCGAGUAAGGGAAUAGACACCUUUUUAUCUCCUAGUGAUAAAUGAAAUUGAAUUUUGACCAAUUGAUGGAAAAAUUACCUUUUAUUAUUUCCAAAAUCAAUGAUGGAAUAAUUAGAUUUAGCAAAUGGGAUUAAAAAAACAUCUCUUUGAGGUCACGAGGGCUACUUCCUAUAGUUAAUCUAGGAGAAUUUCCUAAACUGAAUUUUCUAGGGUUUUCUUAGGUUUAAUAAAAGAAUUCAACUUUAUUAAAGUAUCAAUAUUGCUGAAAAAAGAAGCAAUGACUUAGUCCUUCUCAGGCUCCCCUAGGUUGGUCCUACGGUCCUUGAGACGUUAGUCAGUGGGUGGCUCGGCAGGGCCAGGAGGUUGAGUAUGGCCACACUCUUAUGUCUGGGGCCUCAGCUGGAUGGAAAGGCUGAAGAGUGGAGCCUCUCUGCCUUUGCGUGGUCUGUGGUCACAGCUGCUACACAGCAUGAUGGAGGCUUCCCGAGAGCAGGAGCUGCAGGAUUUCUUGGAGGCUGAGGCUCGCAGGUACCCGAUGUCUUUUCUGCUCCAUUCUACUGGAGAAAGCCCGUCUUAGGGCCAGUGCAGAUUCAAGGUGGCUAAAGAGACUCCCCCUUUUCAUAGGAGGAGCUUCAAACAAUUUGUGGCCUUUUAAAAUCUACCACAUUUUUAUCCCCAUUUAUUUAUCAUUAUGUACCCUGAAAUAGUAAUUAAGACCCUGUAAGAGAAGUUUGACAGCUCCUUGAAGGUGUCAUGCAAGGCUAAUGCAAGCAAUUAAGUGGCGUUAGCAGAGAGAGGAUCAGGAAACAAACAGAAAACGCCACCUUCUCUUUUGCAAAGACAUCUAGAAUGCUAUGUGCCAUCUGCUCCAUGUGCUGUGCUUGCAGGACAAAGUUAUGUCCUGGAGACCCAGCUCCCCUUCCCAGAUCUGCCAUUUGCCGCUAGUGUGACGUUGGGCUAGUUCGUCAGUCCCUCUUGCCUCAGCUCCCUCCUCCCUAUAAGGAGAAUAAGAAUAGUGCCUACUUGAUGGGAUUGCUGUGAGGAUAUAGGAAGCAGUAUGCAUAUAUGCAUAUAGUGUGCAGCAUGGUGCUUGGCACAUAUUAGGUCCACAAUUAAUAUUAGCAGUACUUAUUAUUAAUGUCUCUGCAAUUGUCAUUGACUAGUUGAUACAACUUGAUGUCAGAAAAUCAAGGCUCUUAGAUGAAAUGGUCUGAGAACUCACACAUUUAAGUCCAUCUGAUACUUAAACCCACGCUUCCAAUGGUUUUGUUGAGUAGCUGGAUAGUCUAGGUUAUAGUGCAGUAACAAAUAGCCACAAAACACAGAAAAAAUUAAUUUCUCAUUCAUUAAUUAUCCAACGGAAUGUAGGCAACUUCCCAGGACAGUUGUCCUUCAUGUUGUGACUCAGGGAUCCAGGCUGCUAUCCUAGCCCCUAGCCCUGCCCAUUGAUCCCAAGGCCUCCUUGGUCACCGAGCCAGGGCAAAGACAAUGGAGAACCACGAGGAAGUAAUGGCCAUCGUUUCUGCUCAUAUUGCUUAGGACUCACCUUAUGGCCACCUAAGUGCAGGUGCUAGAAAUUAUGACCUUCCAGAUUCCCAGGGAGGAGAACGUGGGCCUGGGGUUAGUGGACAUAUGUAACAGGCUUGGUUACAAUAGUGAUUCAGCCUGUGUCUUGUUCCCCAAUUUUCUGAUUUGACCCAUGUCGCCAUUAAUAGUUCUGAAUGGCGGCUAGGCCUGCUUCAUAUGGCACAUUGAUCCACAGGAUUUUCCUUUUGGAUUACACAGAACAACCCUAAACUCUCUCCCAUGUGAGACUCAUUCCAGAAUGUAAAGAAGACAGAUGGACAAGCAACCCUGGUGAUCAGGUACCUGAGACAUGGCUCAGACAGAUGGCCUUCACAUCCGAGGCAGCUACAGCGCCCCCCUCCCUCCAAGUCUUCUCCACAAUUUAACCCUCCUAUGAGUUCUACUCUUGUUAGAGUUAGUGUAAAAUAUCCUAAAGGGAAUAUAGUUCUCAUUACCUUACUCUACUGGCACGCCAAGUUGUAUAUUAGUUUUCUGUUGCCACAUAACAAUUUCCUCAAACUUAGCAGCUUGAAACAACCCCAUUUAUUAGCUCACGCUCCUGUAAGUUGGAAGACCAGGUGGGCUCAACUGACUUCUCCACUCAGGGUCUCACAAGCCCAAAAUUAUGGUGUCAGCUGAGCUGGACUCUCAUCGGGAAUCUCCGUGGGAGACGAUCCUUCUGCACUCAAGCAGGUGGUUGGUGGAAUCCAGUUUCUUGUGGUUGUGAGACUGAGGCCCUAUUUCCUAGCUGGCAGCUGGCCAGGGUGGGCCUCUGCUCCCAGAGUCCACACACAUUUCUUCUCAGAUGCUCCAUCUUCAAAGCUAGCAGUGGCAUGAUGAGUCCUGCUCAUUCUUUAAAUCUCUGCUACUUCUCCUCCUGCACCUGCUUGGGAAAACUCUCUGCUCUUAAAGGGCUCCCUUGACUGGACCAGGACCACUAAGAUCAUCUCCCUAGCCCCCUCACAGCAGUGCCUAGAUCACUGUUUGAUUGAAUAACCAGAGGUUGAGAACCUUUGGGGGCAUCUUUAGAAGUUUGACUGUCACAUUAUACUAACUAUCCUGCAUUUUAACUUCACUCAAUAGUAAUGAUAGCUGAUAGUUAUAUGGUGCUUACAAUGUGUCAUGCACUCUGAGGUGAGCAACCUCAAAUGAGAUGAGCACUCUUUUCCUCAUUUGACUGAUGAGGAAACUGAGGCAUGGUGAGGUCCAGUUAUUGGCUCCGAUCUCGAGCAGUACAUUAGGGGCAGUCUGGCUCCGGCAUCCACGGUCCUAAGCUCUGCACUGGGCUCCUUUCUCCUGAGCUCUAGGAAUGGGGUUGAGGGCCAACACCAGGAGGAUUCUCCCUUGCUGUUCCUCUAAACCAAGCUCCCUCUGAGCUCUGCUCCUGUCUUGGCGGGGUCAGGAAAUGGGUGAAAUGCAGCGAGAUUGUAGUAGGUGAUUGGACUGUUUCAUUCGACUUGGCAGAAUGUGGUGAAAACCAGAAAAGACGACAGUAACGGAGGAGCUGCUCUUCUUGCCCUUUCUCAACAUGACAGCAUUGAGAAUGGUACACUUGAUUAGAGAGAGAGAGAUGAGUGGAUGGAUGGAUGGAUAGAUUAUAAUUAGAUAGAUUUAAUAAAUAGCUUUUCUCUUGUCUUUUGCUGAGCCACUCUAAAAAAGGAGCAAGUAAGAGUUGGGCAAGGAGUUCACGUUUUUAAAGGAAUAUUCCCUUCAGAUCACGUGUUGGCUGGAGUCCCUCAGACCCACACCAAAUCCCAGUGGGAUGCUCUCCAGAAAGCAAUGCUGAAAUCCACCAACCUGAUAACACAAGAAAGGCUUACUUCUUCCUCCUAGGCUCCUCUGUUGGUUAGAAAUAGAAGUGACAUCCAGAGAUCAGGAAAGAACUCUGACGAGCAAGCCCAUCGUUUCCUCUGAGACAGAGAUACGAUCAGGCCGAGCAAACCCCGUGUUAACAAAAACAAAUGUGAACAUGAAACAUCUUGAUGUAAAACUUAUGCUCUCCAGGAAUGAAAACAUCACCUUAAAUGAAAGAUUUUGUGCCUAACUCCAAAGGUUCACUGAGUUUUAAGGAUUCUUAGAAAAUAUCUAAUUCAAUAUUACUCAUUUUCACAACAAGGCAUCUGAAACACAAAGAUGUUAAUGCGCUUGUCCAAACCUACAUGGUGGGAAGGUGAUAGAGUUAAGGCGGGAAUCCGUGUUUCCCUGGCCCUGAGUAUUCUUUCAGCAGGCGAUCUGAAUGGCAACCUGGCGACUGUUUUCCAAACCAUAGAUCAUGGUGCUGCCACCAUCCUUGAGCCUACAGGAUGCUGGAAACGUGGAAGAAGAAACACACAAAUCCAUGGUGUUUC